AUGCGGGGGCGACAGCCUGAUGAGGUCAACCAGACUUCUGUCAGGCCCUGUGAAAUCAAUGACAUUCUGUCCCUUUGGAUCGAAGGUUUAAGGAUUCAGGAUCGAAGGAACCAGAGUCCCUAAUCUGCCAGGAGACUCCGCCAGGACCGGAAGGGAGCAACGGUAUCCUGGACUCUUGAUGCUGAAGGGGUGCGGGAUCGAGAGGAAACAGGGGGAACCUGCCAGGACAUCUGGCCCGAUUCAGGCGUGUCCGGUU
rnacentral:SRP_RNA from 1 species